AGUCACAUGUGGUUGUUGGGAAUUGAACUCGGGUCCACUGGAAGAGCAGUCAAUGCUCUUAACCACUGAGCCAACUCUCCAGCCCCUUAAUAUUUCUUUAAUGACCUGAAAAAUAGCUCUGUGUGUUGUGAAUGGUUGGAUCACCUUGAUCUUGAUUCCAUUAAGUUUAAUUGUCAGCUUCCUGUCUGGGAAGGAAGACUAGGAGAGAAUGUAUCCUGUGUGUACUGAGCAUUCUUUACCCACAUGUUCAUCUCUGCAGAUGUGGACAUGAAACUUAAGAGUCAUUAAGUGAUUUGUUCAAGUGGUGUGCCUCCACGUUGAUGUAAACUCCCCUAGGACUCAGGGCACGUGCUGCCAUGUCUUUGUAGACAAAUCUUUUUCUGUCUAUGGCUGUACAUGCACUCUUGUUUCUUGGUACUUGCAGAUGAGCCUCAUCUUCCUCACUCUUCCAUUAGGGUAUCCUUGUUCUGGAUUAAGACUGUUCUUACAGUGCUCUCGGCUUCUGUUCAACAAGGCACUCAUAGUCCACUCCCAUAACUGGUCGUUCUGGUCAUAAUUCUUACUGCCUGCUUUUUUGUAACAGUUUUGUUUAGUGAAACAUAGGUAGAAUGGUGCAAAAAGGAUUGAUUUUUUUUUUUUUUUAAGUCACUAAAGGCAUUGACCUUAGUGUUAGCAAGUCAUCUACUGUCUCAGCCUCAGUUUCCCUACUUUAAGGUAUUAAUUGGGUGUGGUGGCACAUAACUUUACAUGCCAGCACUGGGAGGCAGACACAGGCUGAUCCGCAUAGUGAGUUCCAGGACAGCUAGAGCUACAUAGAAAGACCUUGUUUCAAAAUAAAUAAGUAUAAGGUAAUAACUGGGAUACUUUGAAAUAAAGCCCAAUGCAGAUUUAAUUUUAUAACUAAUUUUGAUGUUCCACAUUCUUAGAUUUUCUAUGAAUGGGAUGAUACUGGGUAUAAAUGGAUGAAUACCUUUUUUUUUUUUUUUUUUUUUUUUAAGAUUUCUUACGUGCAUGCCAUGUAUCUUGAUCCUAUUCACCUCAACUCCCUCUGCUAUUCUGAGCCUCCCCCCAACCCCCAGCCAACUUAAUGGUUCUUUAAAAACAUUUGCCAUUGUAUGAGGUCAUCCGUUGGGCAUGGGCAGCCCACCAGUAGUCAGCCUUCAGUGCCCACUGUGUGCAGGCAAGAGCCAAGAAAGGUAUGAGUUUACUGAGAGCUGGUUAUGGUCUCACCUGGGACCCUGUUUCAGAACUAAAACCAGGAGAGAACCAGGUAUUCUCUUGACCAAGCCAAAUACCAGUGCACUGUAAAACCUACUUAAUUCAGAGGAAAACCUGUGGUGAUGUUGGAUGAGAAGGCCGCUGGAGAGUUGGAGGGCUUUUCUACCAACCGUCUCACGUGAGCUUUGAGGAUGUCAGUGUAGUUGGUCUGCUGGAGAACAGCAUUCCUUUAGGUGGAAGAUCUGACUACUGCGUGAGUGAGAUGGCCUUGAGUGUGCCUGGCUUCAGAAUUGUUAAGAGCAGCUGUUAGGGGAUAGAAAUGGAGAAAGUUAAACUGCAGAAAGGGUAAGUUAUGCAUGUUUGUUUUGUUUCUUAUGACUCAAAGUAGUGUUUCAGUGGAGGUUUUGGAAGUAGUCCAGAAAUUGUUUUAUACUCUGUCUGCUGCAGACAUCUAAAACAAUUUAAGUUCAAGGAAAGAUCUUAGCAUUGCCUUUCUGGACUAGGGCAGCAUAAAUCUAGUGUGAGAGAAUUUAGGACUGUUGGAGCGAAAGCACCGGGGACAAACAAUGUGGUUGUCCAUCGUGGCCACAGCUGCACAGGGUCUAGGCAGCACCUUCCUCAGAGCAGCUGCAUAUGGCUAGUGUCUCUCAGUGUGGACUUAGGAAGUUUUGAAAGACGGUUGUAAUUGACAUCUGUGGGUGUUCUAUAGGAACUGUAAACCUGGUGCUAGUGGUAAUUCUGGUAGCCCCAACCACUUUUUACUAACCACCUUUUUUUCUUUUUAUUAUUACUUUUCCCUGAUACAGGAUCUCCUGUAGCCCAUGCUGGCUUUGAACACACUUUAUAGCUGAGGAUGAUCUAGAUUUUUUUUUUUUAAUUCUCCUGCCUUCACUUCUUGAGUGCUAGGGUAACAGGCAUGAGCAACCAUGCUUGGUUUAUGCUGUGCUGAGGCUCAGACUGGGCUUUGUUCAUGGCGGGUAAGCAGCUUACCAGUUCAUACAUUCCAAGACUUUCUUUUUGAGAUAGGGUCCACUCUAGCCCAGGCUAAACUUAGAUCUGCAGUGGUCCUUCUACUUCAGCCUCCUGGGUGUGGGAAUCACUGGCAUGAGUCACUGUGCCUAGUCCUGCAUACUCUUCCCUGCCUUUUCUCCCUGGCUUGCUUUCUCCCCAUCCCUCCUUUUUUCUGUUAGAGGCAUCACAGUGGCACUCAGGGUGGAGAAGUAACUCCUUUAUCACAAUGUUAUGUAUUUAAAGAUAGUUAGAAAUUCCUCCUUAAAUCCCAAAGUUGUAUAAAACUGAACAUACACACGUGUUUACUGUGCUAAGAGGGUCUGUCAUUAGAAAAAAGAUUAUAGAAAGAUACUAACAGUUUGCUCAAAAGACACGACAGGAUCUUAUUUAACAGGUUUAGUGGUUACUGGCUUCCUUAGUGGUAUACAGAAUAGAAUGGGAAAUAUCUGCAUGUUUGUUUUUGACGUUUAUAUAAAGCAGAUAAUCUGUGUACUUUGUAUUUGUGAACAACUGGAGUAUGAGGGAGAUGGCUUUGUAAAAAGAGGGUUUCUUGGUUUCAGAAUUAUUGCUGGGGAUCGUGAAUAUAUAUUGUACUGCAUUGUGUUUAUCUCCUGCUUUAUCUGUAUUUGAUAUAAAAUUCUUGAGAAAA